GCGGGCGUGGCGGAAUCGGCAGACGCGCAGGACUUAGGAUCCUGUAGGGCAACCUGUAAGGGUUCAAAUCCCUUCGCCCGCACCA
rnacentral:tRNA from 1 species